AGAGUUUGAUCCUGGCUCAGAACGAACGUUAGCGGCGCGCCUAAUACACGCAAGUCGCGCGAGAAAGGGCUUCGGCCCCAGUAAAGCGGCGCACGGGUGAGUAACACGUAGGUGAUCUCCCCUCGAGUAGUGGAUAACCCUCCGAAAGGAGAGCUAAUACAGCAUAAGACCACGACCUCGCUGAGGUUGCGGUCAAAGCGGACCUCUUCAUGAAAGUUCGCGCUUGAGGAUGAGCCUGCGGCCCAUCAGGUAGUUGGUAGGGUAAUGGCCUACCAAGCCUAAGACGGGUAGCUGGUCUGAGAGGAUGAACAGCCACACUGGAACUGAGACACGGUCCAGACUCCUACGGGAGGCAGCAGUAGGGAAUCUUGCGCAAUGGGCGAAAGCCUGACGCAGCGACGCCGCGUGAGCGAUGAAGGCCUUCGGGUUGUAAAGCUCUGUGGGGAGGGAAGAAUAAGGUUUGGCUAAUAUCCAAAUCGAUGACGGUACCUCCUUAGCAAGCACCGGCUAACUCUGUGCCAGCAGCCGCGGUAAUAC
rnacentral:rRNA from 1 species